GUGCUCGCUUUGGCAGCACAUAUACUAAAAUUGGAACAAUACAGAGAAGAGUAGCAUGGCCCCUGCUCAAGGAUGACACACAAAUUCAUGAAGCGUUCCAUAUUUUU
rnacentral:snRNA from 1 species